UUUUUUUUAUCAGUCAGAGGAUAAUGCAAGUGUUUAACAGAUGCUUCACUAUUAAAAUAUUUCCCCCCCAAGUCUCAAAUAUUGAAGAAUCUCUAACCAGGGACACCAGUCCCUACGAAGACCUUGGGCGAUUUUGAAGUGCGGGCACCUCGAUUCCCCGAAUCUGUAGUGUGGCUGGUAUCGGUGUUCCCCUGGUUUAACUAGCCUGUUUGGCACAACAAAUGAGACCCAAGUGCUCAUAGAACAUUCCAAAGAGUCAACAGAGAGAAGUGGAAAGUAUUAGAAACAUGAUUGUGUUUGCAAAGGGAGACAUAAACAUGGGGAAAUUGAGGCAGAGAAGCCAAGACAUGCGCUAAAGGUCCAUGCAGGCUAUGAAUGGAGCUGGAAUGUAAACGCAGGCCAUGUGACUCCAGAGCCCAUGUUCUUGAACCCUUAGAAAGACAGCAGCAACACACCUGGUGCAGCAGCUGCUUAGUUGGAGUGGCUGACAAGAGAUCCUGGCAAAUGGGUGUUUCUUCUCAGAAAGGGAUUUUUCUCCAUGACUGCAGUUGAAUUACAAAGUUGUAGAGACAU
rnacentral:antisense_RNA from 1 species